rnacentral:rRNA from 1 species
CUGAACUUAAGCAUAUCAAUAAGCCGGAAGGA